AUGUCCUUUAAAUUAGUCCAGUGAGGCUAGCAAGGCAGGCUUAAUUAAGUAUCAAACUUUUUAGGAAGCACCUAGUCUCAUUUAGACUAGGUGUUUUUUCAU
rfam:Lactobacillus apis strain Hma11 genomic scaffold Hma11_scaffold2, whole genome shotgun sequence.